rnacentral:misc_RNA from 1 species
GGAGGGAUCAUUAACACGUUAAUAACGUUUAACAACUCAUAAACAAACAAUGUGAAUAAAAUGUAAUAUAUUAUAGUCAAAUAUAGUAUAUUAUUACCUCUACCUAAUACAAAUGAGACUGUUUUCGAAAUACUAUUGUGAUUGGUUAUUAUAGUAAAAUAUAAUAACAGUAUCUAGAUUACUCGAGUUUAAUCUCACAUAGUCAGUUUGUAUUUAGGCUUUUUAAUUAAAUAGCUCAAUCAUACUAUGCAAACCAUUCUCACCCUCCUUAUUAAUUAUAUGACUGAAAUAAACUUUAUUAAUCAGAAAUGAUUUGAUAUUGUUGAUAUUCUAACUGUGAGCACAACUCUUAGCAACGGAUAUCUUGGUUCUCGUAACGAUGAGAACGCAGCGAAAUGCGAUAUGUAAUGCGAAUUUGCAGAAUUCAGUGAAUCAUCAAAUCUUUGAACGCAAAUGGCGCUCUUGGGAUAGUCCUAGGAGCACACCUCUCUCAGUAUCGGUUCAACCUCAUAUCAAAGGCGUAUUAAAUAUUUUGAUUAAUUAGAUUAUAUAUAGUAAUAUAUAAUGAUUUGAUUGAUUAAAUGAAUAGUAUUUGCUAUUUUGGAAAAUGAGAGUCACAUCAUUCAGUUAAUGUGUCUUUUUAAAGAGUUUGAGCUGAGUACACAUUUCUAGUAAUUUAUUAUAUUGUAGCUUUAUUGCUAUAGUAUAAUGAUAGUUAUAUUAACUAUUUCAUUACUACUAAGUAACGUGGAUAAUUCCGAUUAUGAUAUGAUAAUUUAUUAUUAUAGAUUAAAACGAUUGAAACGUCUAUCUAUGUAUAAAAAUGAAUACUAUUAGUUAAUAUAAUGACAAUUAGUGAUGAUAACUAAGCGAUGGAAACUGUAGUAAAUUGAUUGAUAUUGAGUUAAAUCAAUAUUAGUUAUUUCUUACACACACAUUCGAAUUAGAUCUGAGAUGAAGUGAGAAAACCCCCUGAAUUUAAGCAUAUUAAUAAGGGGAGGAAAAGAAACUAACAAGGAUUGCUCUAGUAACGGCGAGUGAAGCGGCAAUAGCUCAAUAUGAAAAUCGUUGAUCCAAGCGGGUCUAUCGAAUUGUAUCCUAGAGACGUGUUAUCAGCGUGUAACCUAGACAUAAGUCCUUUGGAAGAAGGCAUCAUAGAGGGUGAGAAUCCCGUCUUUGGUCUAGAGCCUUAUUUACCGCGUACGAUGCAUGUUCAUAGAGUCGAGUUGUUUGGGAUUGCAGCUCUAAAUGGGUGGUAAAUUUCAUCUAAAGCUAAAUAUAGACGAGAGACCGAUAGCGAACAAGUACCGUGAGGGAAAGAUGAAAAGAACUUUGAAAAGAGAGUUAAAAAGUACUUGAAAUUGCUAAGAGGGAAGCGCUGAAAACUAGUGUGAUUAUGUAACAUUUUGCCUAUUGAUUAGUUAGUUUAUUAUGUUAGUACGUUGGUAACUCGUAUUGAUAUAAUAUGAUUAAUUAGUCAGUUGGUCCUGUGUUAUUAAUCUGUCAGAAUCAGUUUGAUAUGCAUACAAUUGAAAGAUAAUAGGAAGGUAGGAUAUUAGUAAUAAUAUCAACUUAUAGCCUAUUAUCCCUAUUGUAUGACAGACUGAGGAUUAUUUCAAUGUUAUAAUGCGCCACUAUGGCUUCAUUAUUUAUUCUCUAUUAUAUUAGUUAGCUUGGAUGACAAUGUCAUGCUGUUGAUCGAAAUGUAAUACUGAGUGAAUGUAUGAUAUGCAUUAUCGCGAUUCUGACUAAAUGGUUUUCAUCGACCCGUCUUGAAACACGGACCAAGGAGUCUAACAUAUAUGCAAGUAUUUGAGUUCUAUUAAACUCUGAUGCGAAAUGAAAGUAAAAGUAGACUUGUUCUACCGAGGUAGGAAACUUAGUGUAAAAAGCUAAGCGGCACUAUCGACCGAUCAUCACUUGUGAGAAGAUUUGAGUAAGAGCAUAUCUGUUGGGACCCGAAAGAUGGUGAUCUAUGCCUGAACAGGGUGAAGCCAGGAGAAAUUCUGGUGGAGGCUCGUAGCGAUACUGACGUGCAAAUCGUUCGUCUGAUUUGGGUAUAGGGGCGAAAGACUAAUCGAACUAUCUAGUAGCUGGUUCCCUC